rnacentral:lncRNA from 1 species
AAAAAAAGUAAAUCCUCAAAUAAAUUUUUUCUUUGGAUUUGCAAUAGAUUUUCAAAUGACAAGGGAGGUAUUACAUAAUGAUAAUACACAGUUUCUAAAUCCAACGAACAUGAAAAUGAAAGUUCUCAUAAAUACAUAUAUACACAAAUCCAGGACCUACAAAACUAAUAUCACAUCAUAUAAUCAUCUAAGUUAAACAACCUACACUUCAAUUGCCACCAUCAAAAUCGGACAAGGUCUCAAUCAUGUCACACUUGUGCAAUCCAAUCCUCAUAGGCAGCUACUAACAAAACCAAAGAGAAGUAGAAGAAAAGAAUAUGGGAGUCAAAUUACGCAUUAAGUUAUACGGGUAAAUAUGGAAAUUCAAACCAACAAUACAAACACAAACACACAAAUCACAUAAUUGAGGAAAAUAAGAAGUAAUAAUCAUAAUUUUGUAUAAAAUAGUUGUCAAGGUUUGUCGAUUUGGCGAUCAAGACUACUAGCAACUCAUAAUUAACAAGCCUGCAAAUGGUAGUUACCAUCAUGUUACUCCUCGGAACUUUCGCUAGAGUGCUCUGCUAUGAUCCUGAAUUAGUGCAGUGGAGUGUCGAGAUAGCUCUGUUGUCCACAUGAUUGCCGGCAAUCAAUGUAGCUAUCCAUUGAGCCAUUGAGAAUCUAAUCACGCCAAUCUAUCCCCAAGGUCUCUUUGGCCCCCACAUUCCUAAUCUCCUAAAAAGGGAUCCAAAUCUUCAAACGACAACGACUAUAGUUUGGUUGAAUUGUUGUACAACAGACAAACAAAGGGAACAUAAGUUCCCGAGUAGUAACGGUACCAAUUUUAAAAUACAAUCAUGUUUCAGUCUAUUGAGUUUGGAUAAAUGACAUAUGCUCAUAAUACUCUUUUUCUCAAAAAGAAUUGAACCAUACAAUAAGUAGGGAUCCAACCCGUUAUCAAAUCAAAUUUACCGAAUUCAAAACCUCGUUCCAACCCUUCCGGAUCUAAGUCCAAAAACAAAUGCACAUAACACAAAACUCCUAAACGACUUAGACAACUGAAACUUAGAGGCCAUACAUAGAGCCUAACUACAUAGCAUAAUAAGGUUCUUGUGGGAAAACCUUAUUCAUGAACACGCAAUCAUCAAAUAUCUAGCAUAGUUACGGUUAACUAUGAAAAACAAUUCAAGCCAACAAUUGAUCCAACACAACCAAACAAACAAACAACCAAUUCAAUAAGCAUAUUCACACACAAUUCAAUUUCCAAAAUACCCCUUAAUGAGAAAUCAGCUCCCACCUGAAAUUUACUGAUUUCGCUUUCCAGCCGCAACAACCUCCCAACACCAUCACUGUCCAACGCCUUGAACGCACAUAAAGGCAGCUUCAAUGCUUAGGGAUGUCCACAACCAAGAUGGCAGAGAAUCAACAAUCCAAGAGAGUUUACAAUAACAUCAAAAUAAAAACAAAAUAUCAAAAUCAGUGGCUAAACCAAACAUAGGGAAAAUUAAUCUAGUUUAAUUAAUCAAUUACCAAAAAGAACAUAACUAUUUAAUUAGUAACAUGUAAAUAGAGUUUAGAAGAAAAUAAUUAUGAAUUAACUGUCCAAGUACCUUCAAUGUCCAUAAAUAAUAGUUCAGUUCACAUAUAGUCUGACAAUGACAACAUCAUUGACAUGUAACUCCACGCCUUUUCUUCCUGAUACCACAAAAAUGAAACACCCAACUAUGUCAAAAGAAAAUAGAUGAUUAAAUUAUGCCAUGAGUAACACAGUUGACACGACACAACACAACUGACAGUAAGUAUAAUGAUGACGAGCAACAAAAAAAAAGAAAAGUAUAAUGAUGACGAGUUGACUGUUAACACAAAAAUGAUCACAAGUAACACUAGAAUAUAAAAUCAAGACUUCUAUAAAUCAUCCAAUUCAUUAUAUAUGUUUUCUUCAUUCUUCUGUAACGCAAGACCAUACAUACCUGAAAUAAUUACAGCUGUUGCCUUAGAAAAUGCUCCAAAUGAACGGCCAGCAAUGACUUCAAAGAAUAUAUCAACAAUUGUUGCCCUAAAGAAAACUCAGAUGGUACAAACAGAAAAGAUUGAAUCCGUACAUUUUUCCCUUUUUGCGAAAACAAUGCACAGAAAGAAAAUGCUUCUUUCCUCUAAAUGGGGUCGACUACAUGAACCAUCAUCAACAUAAUUUAGUAAAGACAAAAUAUUAUAUCUAAAUCCUUUUUAAUAGUUGGACAUAAAGUCUUUGUUGGUCUAUCACUAUUUGUCUGUUGGAUUAUCUUCCAUAUAAUCAAUAUCUACCACGGAAAUAUAAAACAGUUCUACUUUCUAUAGCUAAGGGAAAAUAGGGUAAACAAUAAAAGGUAAAGUAUUCAUAACUCAUCAGUAUCAGCAUGGUAUUUUAUUAGAAACACAAAGAAUGACUAAUGAAUGAAAAGACUAUACGAAGAAAAUU